rnacentral:rRNA from 1 species
CCUACGGGAGGCAGCAGUGGGGAAUAUUGGACAAUGGGCGAAAGCCUGAUCCAGCAAUGCCGCGUGAGUGAUGAAGGCCUUAGGGUUGUAAAGCUCUUUUACCAGGGAUGAUAAUGACAGUACCUGGAGAAUAAGCUCCGGCUAACUCCGUGCCAGCAGCCGCGGUAAUACGGAGGGAGCUAGCGUUGUUCGGAAUUACUGGGCGUAAAGAGUACGUAGGCGGUUAUUCAAGUCAGAGGUGAAAGCCCGGGGCUCAACCCCGGAACUGCCUUUGAAACUAGAUAGCUAGAGUCUUGGAGAGGUUAGUGGAAUUCCGAGUGUAGAGGUGAAAUUCGUAGAUAUUCGGAAGAACACCAGUGGCGAAGGCGACUAACUGGACAAGUACUGACGCUGAGGUACGAAAGCGUGGGGAGCAAACAGGAUUAGAUACCCUGGUAGUCCACGCCGUAAACGAUGAUAACUAGUUGUUCGGGUCACUUGGUGCCUGAGUGACGCAGCUAACGCAUUAAGUUAUCCGCCUGGGGAGUACGGUCGCAAGNUUAAAACUCAAAUGAAUUGACGGCUGNGAGUUGCGAGCGACACGAGGGAGAGG